GCCUAAAGCGUCCGUAGCCGGCUCUGUAAGUUUUCGGUUAAAUCCAUAUGCUCAACAUAUGGGCCGCCGGAAAUACUACAAAGCUAGGGAGUGGGAGAGGUAGACGGUACUCCGUAGGAAGGGGUAAAAUCCUUUGAUCUAUGGAUGACCACCUGUGGCGAAGGCGGUCUACCAGAACACGUUCGACGGUGAGGGAUGAAAGCUGGGGGAGCAAACCGGAUUAGAUACCCGGGUAGUCCCAGCUGUAAACUAUGCAAACUCAGUGAUGCAUUGGCUUGUGGCCAGUGCAGUGCCGCAGAGAAGUCGUUAAGUUUGCCGCCUGGGAAGUACGUACGCAAGUAUGAAACUUAAAGGAAUUGGCGGGGGAGCACCACAAGGGGUGAAGCCUGCGGUUCAAUUGGAGUCAACGCCAGAAAUCUUACCCGGAGAGACAGCAGAAUGAAGGUCAAGUUGAAGCCUUUACCAGACAAGCUGAGAAGUGGUGCAUGGCCGUCGCCAGCUCGUGCCGUGAGGUGUCCUGUUAAGUCAGGUAACGAGCGAGAUCCUUGCCUCUAGUUGCUACCAUUACUCUCAGGAGUAGUGGGGCGAAUUAGCGGGACUGCCGUAGUUAAUACGGAGGAAGGAGAGGGCCACGGCAGGUCAGUAUGCCCCGAA
rnacentral:rRNA from 1 species